UCUUCUUCUUUAUCUUCUUAGCGCCUGCAAAAUAAAAAUAAAAAACAAACGACUUUAGCCGCAUGUGGCGCUGUCGAUUUCACUCAACACUUUCACAUUCGUACUCGGAAACAAACCCCCACCUCCUAAGUACGACCCCGCCUACUUCUAAGAGCGCCAAAUUCAUUUUGCAAAAAGACAGUCUAGUGUGAACAUCUCCUACAGCCGCUUAAAAAACAUGCAAAAAGCAACAACAAAAAAAAACUUACCGCAGAUAGGUGUAGGACUUUUGUCGUCUUUUUCGAUGAUGUUGUCCUCGAGCAAGUCUUCGGUGUGGAGAGUAUUUUGUGGGAAAAACCCCUCUUCUUUUACCGCGAGCAAGCCUUCAGCCUCCGCUGGAACGUCAUUGUUCUUCAAUGUCAACCUCCUCGACACUUUUUGGCGGGAGACCCGUUAAAGGCGUCCAACGCGCCAGAGGCGUAAAAGAAACAUCUGAACCACCACCACCGGAGUAAACACCCCGCAUUCAGAGUUAAAAGACUCCAAAGAAAAGACGUCUGGUUCGGUCGACUGAGGCUGAUAGGAUCCGUUGAUUUUAGGAGCACGGAGACUGGCACGGAAAAACCAACGACCUGAGGCCAAAAAAUCCUACUUUUCCGAGGAGCGU